GACGAACGCUGGCGGCGUGCCUAAUACAUGCAAGUCGAGCGGAUGACGGAGGAGCUUGCUCCUCCUGAUUCAGCGGCGGACGGGUGAGUAACACGUGGGCAACCUGCCCUGUAGAUUGGGAUGACUCCGGGAAACCGGGGCUAAUACCGAAUAAUCCUUCGGACCUCAUGGUCCGAUGUUGAAAGACGGCAUCUCGCUGUCACUACAGGAUGGGCCCGCGGCGCAUCAGCUAGUUGGUGAGGUAACGGCUCACCAAGGCCACGAUGCGUAGCCGACCUGAGAGGGUGAUCGGCCACACUGGGACUGAGACACGGCCCAGACUCCUACGGGAGGCAGCAGUAGGGAAUCUUCCACAAUGGACGAAAGUCUGAUGGAGCAACGCCGCGUGAGUGAAGAAGGUUCUCGGAUCGUAAAACUCUGUUGUGAGGGAAGAACAAGUACCGGAGUAACUGCCGGUGCCUUGACGGUACCUCAUUAGAAAGCCACGGCUAACUACGUGCCAGCAGCCGCAGUAAUAC
rnacentral:rRNA from 1 species